rnacentral:rRNA from 1 species
GACGAACGCUGGCGGCGUGCUUAACACAUGCAAGUCGAACGGGAUCCAUGGAGUAGCAAUACUCCGGAAGAUCUAGUGGCGAACGGGUGAGUAACACGUGAGCAACCUGCCCCAAAGACUGGGAUAACUCCGGGAAACCGGAGCUAAUACCGGAUGCCCUCAUCGGGUCGCAUGGCCUGAUGAGGAAAUGUAAUUUUGCUUUGGGGAGGGGCUCGCGGGAUAUCUAGGUGUUGGUGGGGUAACGGCCUACCAAGCCAUCGACGUCUAGCUGGUCUGAGAGGACGAUCAGCCACACUGGGACUGAGACACGGCCCAGACUCCUACGGGAGGCAGCAGUGGGGAAUCUUGCGCAAUGCGCGAAAGCGUGACGCAGCAACGCCGCGUGAGGGAAGAAGG